rnacentral:hammerhead_ribozyme from 1 species
AUCCAGUUGACGAGUCUCAAGUAGGGUGAAGCGCGUGUCCUGGAU